rnacentral:rRNA from 1 species
AUUGAACGCUGGCGGCAGGCCUAACACAUGCAAGUCGAGCGGAUGAAGGGAGCUUGCUCCUGGAUUCAGCGGCGGACGGGUGAGUAAUGCCUAGGAAUCUGCCUGGUAGUGGGGGAUAACGUCCGGAAACGGGCGCUAAUACCGCAUACGUCCUGAGGGAGAAAGUGGGGGAUCUUCGGACCUCACGCUAUCAGAUGAGCCUAGGUCGGAUUAGCUAGUUGGUGGGGUAAAGGCCUACCAAGGCGACGAUCCGUAACUGGUCUGAGAGGAUGAUCAGUCACACUGGAACUGAGACACGGUCCAGACUCCUAGGGGAGGCAGCAGUGGGGAAUAUUGGACAAGGGGCGAAAGCCUGAUCCAGCCAUGCCGCGUGUGUGAAGAAGGUCUUCGGAUUGUAAAGCACUUAAAGUUGGGAGGAAGGGCAGUAAGUUAAUACCGUGCUGUUUUGACGUUACCAACAGAAUAAGCACCGGCUAACUUCGUG